rnacentral:rRNA from 1 species
AAGCCCUUCGGGGUGGAUUAGUGGCGAACGGGUGAGUAACACGUGGGCAAUCUGCCCUUCACUCUGGGACAAGCCCUGGAAACGGGGUCUAAUACCGGAUAACACUUCCGUCCUCCUGGACGGUGGUUAAAAGCUCCGGCGGUGAAGGAUGAGCCCGCGGCCUAUCAGCUUGUUGGUGAGGUAAUGGCUCACCAAGGCGACGACGGGUAGCCGGCCUGAGAGGGCGACCGGCCACACUGGGACUGAGACACGGCCCAGACUCCUACGGGAGGCAGCAGUGGGGAAUAUUGCACAAUGGGCGAAAGCCUGAUGCAGCGACGCCGCGUGAGGGAUGACGGCCUUCGGGUUGUAAACCUCUUUCAGCAGGGAAGAAGCGAAAGUGACGGUACCUGCAGAAGAAGCGCCGGCUAACUACGUGCCAGCAGCCGCGGUAAUACGUAGGGCGCAAGCGUUGUCCGGAAUUAUUGGGCGUAAAGAGCUCGUAGGCGGCUUGUCACGUCGGUUGUGAAAGCCCGGGGCUUAACCCCGGGUCUGCAGUCGAUACGGGCAGGCUAGAGUGUGGUAGGGGAGAUCGGAAUUCCUGGUGUAGCGGUGAAAUGCGCAGAUAUCAGGAGGAACACCGGUGGCGAAGGCGGAUCUCUGGGCCAUUACUGACGCUGAGGAGCGAAAGCGUGGGGAGCGAACAGGAUUAGAUACCCUGGUAGUCCACGCCGUAAACGGUGGGAACUAGGUGUUGGCGACAUUCCACGUCGUCGGUGCCGCAGCUAACGCAUUAAGUUCCCCGCCUGGGGAGUACGGCCGCAAGGCUAAAACUCAAAGGAAUUGACG